ensembl:misc_RNA 7SK 7SK RNA
GCAGGUGAAGGUGCUCUGACUGCAACAUCUGUAACCCCACUGAUCACCAAAGUUGAUUUAGUUGAUCUGGUUAGUGAGGCAGGUGUUUCCUUCUUCCCUCACAGCUCCCCAAGCUGUACACCCAAUCACAAAGGAUGACUAUCCUAGGUAGAAAAGGACUGUUUCCUUCUAUACCUAGUAGCCAUGCUCCCCUGCUAGAACCUCCAAACAAGCUCAAGAAUACUUGCCCAAAGUCACAUAAUAGGAAGAACAUGGUCUUGAAUCCAGGACAUUGCUAAUAAUCUUUCCACAUUGCCAAGCUUUCUGUCCACUAGGGCAAGAGCAUUGG